AGCUCAGAGUUUCAGAUAGGGCUGGAAAGAGCCAAAGAUAGAUAGGGCUUAGAAAAGCCAGGAGAUGGGUGUCUGUUGUUAUAGUAACAGGGCUAGAGAGAGGAUCUCUUGGGAGAUGGGGUUCCAGGGAGGGACUGAGUAGGACAGGAUUGGUGUCUAUAGAAGGAGACAAAAGUGGACAAGUUGGUGGAGGGAAGAGGAAGAGCAUGAGUGAGUGAGCCAGUACGGUGGUGUCAAUGAGAGACCUAAUGGCCAGGGAAAUUGGAUGCCCACUAAUAGGGGCAGGUUACCCUGUUAGCUUCAAGCUUAGAGCCGAGACAAAUAUUGGGGCCUUGUGGAAGAACAGUGUUGGCACUACAAGUUCUGGUACACAUGGUUUGAAAUUUUGCCCAUAAGAGAACAGAUAGCUUGGAAAAGAAAGAGCCAGCUUUGAACGAAUGAAUAUAGUGUGGAAUGAAAUCCAACCAUUCGGAAGCAGUGAUCACAUUGCAACUAUAAGAUAUGAAUGGGUCUUUUGUCCGCCCUUGUUGGUUGAAAGGGUUAAUUAUUCUUCAUUAAGCAAUCUCAGGAAGACAAGUCCUUUUUACCAUCCAAGCAGCAACAGAGUGCAGUAACAAUGGCUGAGAAGAUGUAUGAAUAGCAGGUAGAUGAACGAAUCAUAGGCAAGGGUUUUUUGCGAAGAUUUUUGCAACUCUGAAAUGGCAAAAUUGAGCUUCACAAAAAUUCAGGA